UACAGAGGGUGCGAGCGUUAAUCGGAGUUACUGGGCGUAAAGGGUGCGUAGGCGGUCGGGUAAGUCUGAUGUGAAAUCUCACAGCUUAACUGUGAAACUGCAUUGGAUACUAUUCGGCUUGAGAGUUGGAGGGGGGACUGGAAUUCUUGGUGUAGCAGUGAAAUGCGUAGAUAUCAAGAGGAACACCAGUGGCGAAGGCGAGUCCCUGGACAACUUCUGACGCUGAGGCACGAAAGCUAGGGGAGCAAACAGG
rnacentral:rRNA from 1 species